UGGUACCCAGUCAAAUUUGGGCCUUCGGUUCUACUCUGAUCCUCUCUGCCUCAGAAAACACUCCCUCCCACCCACCCACCACCAUCUUGCUCUUUAAGGGAAGGUCUCCAAGAUUCUAAUGCAAGAAUCGGGAAGCCCUUCUGAUGCCUAAGAGGUUUAUGAGCAACUGAGGACAUGGACUUGCUCCUGGAAGAAAGCCAUGGUAUGUCUGCCAGCGUCUCACUCACUGUCUUAAUUAAUGUGCGCGGGGUUCUCGGGUUAUUCUUAGAACCUGUAUUGCUACUCUAUGGAAUCUCUGCUGCUUGUCACCUUUGCUUUUUGCUUGUGCUGUCUGUUCUUUGGCUCCACCGGUGUUGUGAUUCUGGCAAAGACUUCCACAGGGGAGUUGCGAAAAGCAAAUUCUUGUAUUACAGAUUAGUCCUUUUCACUUCCCUGAGCUUGGGUUUGUUUCAUCUCUCAACGUGCAUUUUGAGCUACUUCUGGUAUCAGCAUGAUGACCGACUUCUCGCUAUCGAAGUUGGUUUGGCUAUCAGAACAGCUGCAUGGUUUGCCAUGACUGCUUAUUUGCUUCUUGAAUUCAGCAGUUCAAGUGAGGAUAGGUUUCCAACAUUCCUUAGGGUUUGGUGGGGUCUCUUCUUGCUGUUAUCCUGUUCUGGCCUUGUUGUGGACAUUCUUUACUUCAAGAAGCAUAAAUUUCAGAAGACCCAUCAGUUGGUGUUUGACUUCUGUUCAAUUCUAGCUGGAUUGACCUUUAACUAUGCCGGAUUCUUUGGUAAGAGGAUUCUGGAGGAGAAAACUAAUCAUGAGGAACCUCUCUUGAAUGGUCGUAAUAUCAAUGGAUCUUCCACUGUGAUUGGGGAUGGCCAUGCUGCCAUCUCACAAUUUGAAAAGGCUGGCAUACUGAGUACCCUUUCCUUCUCCUGGGUCAGUCCUUUGCUUUCUGUUGGUCGCAGAAAGACUUUAGACCUCAAAGAUAUUCCACAAUUAGCUAGUGAUGAUGAUGUUCAUACUGUCUUACCAAUAUUCAAAAGUAAACUUGAAUCUUAUACUGGUGCUAAUGCCAAUAGUAUGAUUACCUCAUUUAUGUUGGCAAAGGCAUUAAUCUUCUCUGUCUGGGGACACCUUUUGUUGGCAACUUCUAGUGCACUCUUGUCGACUGUGGCUUCAUUUGUUGGCCCCUAUCUCAUUGGUUACUUUGUUCGAUACCUCAGUGGUGAUCCACAAUUUGAAAAUCAAGGGUACCUUCUGGUUCUGGCGUUCAUUCUGUCAAAUCUUGUUGAGGGUUUUUGUAGUAGGUUUGAGAGUUUCAGAUUACGACAGGUUGAUAUGAGACUCAGGGCCUCACUUGUUUCUGUGAUCUACCAAAAGGGUCUUACUCUCUCUAGUCGCUCAAGACAAUGUCGAUCUAGUGGGGAAAUCAUAAAUUACAUGACUAUUGAUGCUUCAAGGGUUAGUUCUUUCAGUUAUUACAUGCUUCGUCUGUCAUCGGUCCCAGUGCAUGUUAUUCUGGCCUUGUUAAUCUUAUAUCCUCAAAUGGGGCUUGCUUCACUAAUUGGCUUAGCGGCCACCUUUAUUGUAACGUUGAUUAAUGUUCCCAUAGCCAAGCUGGAACAGAAUUACAUUGGAAAGAUCAUGGAGUCUAAAGAUCGUAGAAUGAAGGCUACAACAGAGAUCUUGAGGAAUAUGAGAAUUCUCAAGCUUCAAGCUUGGGAAAUGAAGUUCUUAUCUAAAAUAAUGGAACUAAGGAAAAAUGAGAUAGGUUGGUUGUGGAAGAUUGCUUAUGUAUUAGCUGCUGCAAUUUUUCUUGUCUCCUGUUCAUCAAUUUUUGUUGCAGUAGUUGCCUUUGGAGCUUGCAUGCUUUUGAGGAUACCAUUGGGAACAGGAAAGGUUCUAACAGCACUUGCAACUUUUAGGACAUUGCAAAAUCCCAUUUUUGCUAUUCCAGAUACAAUCUCAAUGUUAGUUCAGACCAAAGUAUCUCUCGAUAGAAUAUCAUCUUUUCUCUGCCUUGAGGAUUUGCAACCAAAUGUUGUAGAGAAGCUCCCACGAGGUAGCUCAGAGGUAGCUAUCGAAGUUAGCAAUGGUAAUUUCGCGUGGGAUCCCUCCUCUGAAACUCCUACUCUGAAAGAUCUAAAUUUCCAAGUUUUGAAAGGAACGAGGGUCGCUGUUUGUGGAACUGUUGGUUCCGGUAAAUCAAGCUUGCUGUCUUGCAUUCUUGGUGAAGUCUCAAAAAUUUCUGGAACUGUCAAGUUAUGUGGUACAACAGCUUAUGUCUCUCAGUCACCCUGGAUUCAAAGUGGUAGCAUUCAAGACAAUAUUAUUUUCGGAAAGGAAAUGGACAUGGUCAAAUAUGACAGAGUCCUAGAAGCUUGUUCUUUGAAGAAGGAUUUGGAGAUCAUGCCUAAUGGUGAUCAGACAGUUAUAGGAGAAAGAGGCAUAAAUCUUAGCGGAGGACAAAAGCAACGCGUACAAAUUGCCCGUGCCAUAUACCAUGAUGCUGACAUUUAUAUGUUUGAUGAUCCAUUCAGUGCUGUUGAUGCCCACACAGGAUCUCAUCUCUUUAAGGAAUGUUUGCUUGGAUUUUUAUCUUCAAAGACAGUGGUCUAUGUCACACACCAGGUGGAGUUUUUACCUUCAGCUGACCUUAUCCUGGUCAUAAGAGAUGGAAGGAUUGUUCAAGCAGGCAAGUACAAUGAGAUAAUUAACUCAGGAAUAGAGUUCAUGGAACUGGUUGGUUCUCAUAUGGAUGCUUUGGCUGCACAUAACAUGAUAAAACAUACUUCCAACAAUUCAAGUGACAUUAUUCAAGGUGGUCCUUCUGCCUCAAAAUCUAGUGCACCAGUUCCUCAACAAGCAGAAUUGAAGGAUACAGAGAAUGGUCCAUCAGAUGAAGUUAGGCUGAGGGGUCAACUAGUUCAAGAAGAAGAGAGGGAGACAGGCAAAGUGGGGUUUCAGAUUUAUUGGAGGUAUAUUACAAUGGCAUAUAAAGGGGCACUUGUUCCAUUAAUAUUAUUUUCCCAAAUUCUUUUUCAAGUCCUUGAGAUAUGUAGCAAUUAUUGGAUGGCUUUGGAGUCUCCUCUGUCAGAUGACUUGGAACCUCCUGUAAGUGGCUCAAUGCUCAUAUCUGUAUAUGUAGCAUUGGCUGUUGGGAACGCUGCUUGCAUCCUAAUAAGAACGCUGCUUAUUGUAAUUGUUGGAUACAAGACUGCAACAAUGCUAUUUAAUAAGAUGCAUGCAUGCAUUUUUCGUGCACCCAUAUCAUUCUUUGAUUCCACCCCCACUGGGCGUAUUUUGAAUAGAGCGUCAACUGAUCAACGUGGAGUAGAUAUGUACAUUCCAUUCCAAAUUGGAUCAUUUUCAUUCUCAAUUAUAAAUCUUCUGGGGAUUAUUUUAGUCAUGUCACAAGUCGCAUGGCCAGUUUUGAUUAUCUUUAUUCCUGUGGUUGCAACUUGUAUUUGGUAUCAGCAAUACUACAUAUCUACUGCACGAGAACUAUCAAGGUUGAUUGGGGUUUGCAGAGCUCCUGUAAUCCAACAUUUUGCAGAAUCAAUGUCGGGAUCAAUUUCAGUUAGAAGCUUUGGUCAGGAAAAAGAGUUUGUGAACACUAACUAUAAUCUGAUAAAUGAUCUCUCUCGACUUCAAUUCCAUAGUACAGGUGCUAUGCAAUGGCUUUGUUUUCGUCUCGAUAUGUUGUCAUCCCUUACAUUUGCCUUCUCUCUGAUAUUUCUGAUCAGCAUGCCAGAAGGUGUAAUCGAUCCUGGUAUUGCUGGCCUUGCAGUGACAUAUGGGCUUAGUCUGAAUAUGAUACAAACAUGGGUCAUCUGGAGUCUGUGCAGUCUUGAAAAUGGAAUUAUUUCUGUUGAGAGAAUACUACAGUAUACAAACAUUCCUAGUGAACCACCUCUUGUCAUAGAUGAAAGCAGACCUGAUCAUAUCUGGCCAUCAAAGGGGGAAAUAGACCUUCUUAACUUGCAGGUUCGUUAUGGCCUCGACAUGCCUUUUAUUUUAAGGGGUCUCACUUGCACUCUUCCUGGAGGUAAAAAGAUUGGAAUUGUUGGAAGAACUGGAAGUGGCAAGUCCACCCUUGUACAGACAAUAUUUCGUAUUAUUGAUCCUACUGUUGGUCAUAUAUUCAUCGAUGGCAUUGACAUUUCAACAAUUGGGCUGCAUGACCUGAGAUCCAGAUUAAGCAUUAUCCCGCAAGAUCCAAUUAUGUUUGAGGGAACUGUGCGUAGCAACCUAGACCCACUUGAAGAAUAUACAGAUGAGCAGAUAUGGGAGGCACUGGAUUGCUGUCAACUUGGAGAAGAGAUUAGAAAUAAGGAAUUGAAGCUCGACUCUGAAGUAACUGAAAACGGUGAGAAUUGGAGUGUAGGCCAGCGCCAGCUUGUCUGUUUAGGCAGGGUAAUCUUGAGAAAAAGCAAGAUACUGGUUCUGGAUGAAGCAACUGCCUCAGUAGAUACUACUACUGAUAUCAUAAUUCAGAAAACCCUGAGACAGAAGUUCUCGGAAUCAACAGUUAUAACGAUAGCUCAUCGGAUAACUUCUGUAAUUGACAGUGAUAUUGUCAUAUUACUUGAUAAUGGACUGAUUGUUGAAAUUGACAGUCCGACAAAAUUGUUAGAAAACAAGUCAUCCUUGUUUGCGAAGCUCGUCUCUGAAUACACUACAAGAUUCUAUGAUGCAUCUCGACAAUGAAACCAGCUUCCUUGUGGAGGAAAAUUGAGGUAAAGAAAAUGCUUCUGUGAGUUUUCUGUAAGCAGUAGUAAAAGCAGGUUCCCAAUUUCAAGUCCCAGAUUAAAACAAGUAACUCUGUGAUGCUGUUUGUGAUCUUUCCUAUAUUGAACUACUGCUUCAAUAUACUUCUUGGAACAAGAACAAUGCUCUAGCUAAGUUAUAGGAUGUUGCAUCCAUCUCAUCUUAUGUAAUGUGUGUGUGUGUGUGUAUAUAUAUAUAUAUAUAUAUAUAUAUAUAUAUAGUUUGAUUGAGACUUCCGGUUCUUUUGGUCGGACCUUCUCCUUCCGUUUCCCGUUUGCUCAAGACAUGAAGAAAAUCGAUGAUAAUUGCAUGUUGAGACGAUGGUACGUACUUGACGUAAACUACUGUUUCAGAUUCCCAAUGGGCUAUCGUGGUUUCUGCCUUGCUAAGUUUAAUAGAUUACGUCUCCUGCAUCUUACUACUUUUUUGAGCAGAUUCAUUUUCAUGUUGUUCUUCUGCAUGAUUGCAACAGAACAUUCAUUUUCCAUCUUUGCGUGGACUGCUCCUUUCACCCAAGAGGAAGACCUCCUCUUCCUCCCUCUUGAGUCUCAGAGAGGGAUCAUGAGACGUUAAGGACAUGGAGUUGCUCCUAGUUGCAAGGCAUGGCUUCUCUGCUUCAUGUCACCUCUGUCUCUUGCUUCUCCUAUCUAUUUUAUGGCUCUAUCACCAUUGCGAACCUCGCCAAAACUCUAAUAGGAGAGCAACGAACGACAAAUUCUUGCACUACAGAUUGGCCCUCUUCACUUCCCUGGGUUUGGGCUUGCUUCAUCUCUUGUUGUGUGCCCUGAGCUACUUUUGGUAUGGGAAUGGCGACGGGCUUCUCCGUUGAAGUGGGUUUGGCAGUCGCAAUAGUUGCAUGGUUUGCCAUAGUUGCUUGCUUGCUAGUUGCUACUUGAAUUCAGUAGCUCGAGUGAGGAUAGCUUUCCCACCUUCCUCAAGAUUCGGUCACAAGAAGACAUUAGACCUUAAAGAAGUGCCCCAAUUAGCUAGUAGUGAAAGUGUUCGACAUGUGAUCUCGGAUUUCGAGCAUAACCUUGAAUCUUUCACCAGUACUAUUCCUACUGAUGGAGUUACCUCGUAUGCACUGGCCAAGGGACUAAUCUUCUCUGCUUGGAAGCCAAUUGUGUUGUCAGCUCUCCUCACACUUGUAUCAGCUUUGGCUUCCUAUGUUGGUAACUAUCUCAUUAAUCGUUUCAUUCGAUGCCUUAA